rnacentral:tRNA from 1 species
GUGGGUAUAGCUCAGUGGUAGAGCAUAUGUUUAGCAUGCAUGAGGUCCUCGGUUCAAUCCUCAGCACCUCCA